GGGUUGUGAGGUUAAGCGACUAAGCGUACACGGUGGAUGCCCUGGCAGUCAGAGGCGAUGAAGGACGUGCUAAUCUGCGAUAAGCGUCGGUAAGGUGAUAUGAACCGUUAUAACCGGCGAUUUCCGAAUGGGGAAACCCAGUGUGAUUCGUCACACUAUCAUUACGUGAAUACAUAGCGUAAUGAAGCGAACCGGGGGAACUGAAACAUCUAAGUACCCCGAGGAAAAGAAAUCAACCGAGAUUCCCCCAGUAGCGGCGAGCGAACGGGGAGCAGCCCAGAGUCUGAAUCAGCUUGUGUGUUAGUGGAACGGUCUGGAAAGUCCGACGGUACAGGGUGAUAGUCCCGUACACCAAAAUGCACAGGUUGUGAACUCGAAGAGUAGGGCGGGACACGUGGUAUCCUGUCUGAAUAUGGGGGGACCAUCCUCCAAGGCUAAAUACUCCUGACUGACCGAUAGUGAACCAGUACCGUGAGGGAAAGGCGAAAAGAACCCCGGCGAGGGGAGUGAAAAAGAACCUGAAACCGUGUACGUACAAGCAGUGGGAGCAUCCUUUUGGGUGUGACUGCGUACCUUUUGUAUAAUGGGUCAGCGACUUAUAUUCUGUAGCAAGGUUAACCGUAUAGGGGAGCCGAAGGGAAACCGAGUCUUAACUGGGCGUUAAGUUGCAGGGUAUAGACCCGAAACCCGGUGAUCUAGCCAUGGGCAGGUUGAAGGUUGGGUAACACUAACUGGAGGACCGAACCGACUAAUGUUGAAAAAUUAGCGGAUGACUUGUGGCUGGGGGUGAAAGGCCAAUCAAACCGGGAGAUAGCUGGUUCUCCCCGAAAGCUAUUUAGGUAGCGCCUCGUGAAUUCAUCUUCGGGGGUAGAGCACUGUUUCGGCUAGGGGGUCAUCCCGACUUACCAACCCGAUGCAAACUGCGAAUACCGAAGAAUGUUAUCACGGGAGACACACGGCGGGUGCUAACGUCCGUCGUGAAGAGGGAAACAACCCAGACCGCCAGCUAAGGUCCCAAAGUCAUGGUUAAGUGGGAAACGAUGUGGGAAGGCACAGACAGCCAGGAUGUUGGCUUAGAAGCAGCCAUCAUUUAAAGAAAGCGUAAUAGCUCACUGGUCGAGUCGGCCUGCGCGGAAGAUGUAACGGGGCUAAACCAUGCACCGAAGCUGCGGCAGCGACACUAUGUGUUGUUGGGUAGGGGAGCGUUCUGUAAGCCGUUGAAGGUGUAUCGUGAGGUAUGCUGGAGGUAUCAGAAGUGCGAAUGCUGACAUAAGUAACGAUAAUGCGGGUGAAAAACCCGCACGCCGGAAGACCAAGGGUUCCUGUCCAACGUUAAUCGGGGCAGGGUGAGUCGACCCCUAAGGCGAGGCCGAAAGGCGUAGUCGAUGGGAAACAGGUUAAUAUUCCUGUACUUGGUGUUACUGCGAAGGGGGGACGGAGAAGGCUAUGUUAGCCGGGCGACGGUUGUCCCGGUUUAAGCAUGUAGGCGGAGGUUCCAGGUAAAUCCGGUACCUUUUUAACGCUGAGGUGUGAUGACGAGGCACUACGGUGCUGAAGUAACAAAUGCCCUGCUUCCAGGAAAAGCCUCUAAGCAUCAGGUAACACGAAAUCGUACCCCAAACCGACACAGGUGGUCAGGUAGAGAAUACCAAGGCGCUUGAGAGAACUCGGGUGAAGGAACUAGGCAAAAUGGUGCCGUAACUUCGGGAGAAGGCACGCUGAUAUGUAGGUGAAGUGAUUUACUCAUGGAGCUGAAAUCAGUCGAAGAUACCAGCUGGCUGCAACUGUUUAUUAAAAACACAGCACUGUGCAAACACGAAAGUGGACGUAUACGGUGUGACGCCUGCCCGGUGCCGGAAGGUUAAUUGAUGGGGUUAUCCGUAAGGAGAAGCUCUUGAUCGAAGCCCCGGUAAACGGCGGCCGUAACUAUAACGGUCCUAAGGUAGCGAAAUUCCUUGUCGGGUAAGUUCCGACCUGCACGAAUGGCGUAAUGAUGGCCAGGCUGUCUCCACCCGAGACUCAGUGAAAUUGAACUCGCUGUGAAGAUGCAGUGUACCCGCGGCAAGACGGAAAGACCCCGUGAACCUUUACUAUAGCUUGACACUGAACACUGGUCCUUGAUGUGUAGGAUAGGUGGGAGGCUUUGAAGUGUGGACGCCAGUCUGCAUGGAGCCAUCCUUGAAAUACCACCCUUUAAUGGCUGGUGUUCUAACGUGGACCCGUUACCCGGGUUGCGGACAGUGUCUGGUGGGUAGUUUGACUGGGGCGGUCUCCUCCUAAAGAGUAACGGAGGAGCACGAAGGUUAGCUAAUCCUGGUCGGACAUCAGGAGGUUAGUGCAAAGGCAUAAGCUAGCUUGACUGCGAGAGUGACGGCUCGAGCAGGUGCGAAAGCAGGUCUUAGUGAUCCGGUGGUUCUGAAUGGAAGGGCCAUCGCUCAACGGAUAAAAGGUACUCCGGGGAUAACAGGCUGAUACCGCCCAAGAGUUCAUAUCGACGGCGGUGUUUGGCACCUCGAUGUCGGCUCAUCACAUCCUGGGGCUGAAGUAGGUCCCAAGGGUAUGGCUGUUCGCCAUUUAAAGUGGUACGCGAGCUGGGUUUAGAACGUCGUGAGACAGUUCGGUCCCUAUCUGCCGUGGGCGCUGGAGAAUUGAGGGGGGCUGCUCCUAGUACGAGAGGACCGGAGUGGACGCAUCACUGGUGUUCGGGUUGUCAUGCCAAUGGCAUUGCCCGGUAGCUAAAUGCGGAAGAGAUAAGUGCUGAAAGCAUCUAAGCACGAAACUUGCCCCGAGAUGAGUUCUCCCUGAGACUUUAAGUCUCCUGAAGGAACGUUAAAGACGAUGACGUUGAUAGGUCGGGUGUGUAAGUGUAGCGAUACAUUGAGCUAACCGAUACUAAUGAACCGUGAGGCUUAACCUUACAACGCCGAAG
rnacentral:rRNA from 1 species